rnacentral:lncRNA from 1 species
CUCCCACUUUCAUCUGUGCACAGUGAAUAUCCUGGCUGAAUGGACCAGGAGAAUCCAUGGUUCUUCUCCUUACAGAAUUCCAUAACUUGUUACAGCUCUUUGAAAAUGUAGAAACCAGAGUAUAUGGAGUUUUGCUCUUGUUACCCAGGCUAGAGUGCAAUGGCUAGAUCUCAGCUCAUCGCAACCUCCGCCUCCCAGGUUCAAGCAAUUAUCCUGCCUCAGCCUCCUGAGUAGCUGGGAUUGCAGGACCUGACUUAAAAAAAAUGAAGAACUUGGGCCGAGCACAGAGAUUCAUGCCUGUAAUCCUAGCACUUUGGGAAGCUGAGGCAAGCGGAUCACCUGAGGUGGGAGCUCAAGACCAGCCUGGCCAAUAUGAGACUGAAAUGGAUCCUGGAGGAAGGUAUUUAUUAUGGAUCAACGCAAGUGAAAAGGAGGAGAUGGAGACAGGAUGGGGUGCAGGGAAAAGAUGAACUGCAAUGCAGCCUUGAACCACAGGAGCUACGGAGUAAAUGCCUGUUAGUGUUGCCCUAUGCUGGAUUAAAAGGACUGGGCUUUCCAUCCUUGCAUGAUGCCUUCUUUGGAUGUGGGUCACCCUGGGAAAGAUGUGUCUUUCUUCAGCCAAAGGAACCCCAAAGGAUCUACUUCCUAACCAUAUACCUGCACUGGCCAGUAAGACCAUCCCUUUUGUUUUUUUGAGUCGGAGUCUUGCUCUGUUACCCAGGCUGGAGUGCAGUGGUGCGAACUCGGCUCACUGCAACCUUUGCAGUUCAGGUGAUUCUCUUGUCUUGGUCUCCUGAGGAGCUGGGAUUAUAGGCACACAUCACCAUGCCCAGCUAAUUUUUAUAUUUUCAGUAGAGGCAGGGUUUCACCAUGUUGGUCAGGUUGGUCUCAAACUCCUGACAUCAGGUGAUCCACCUGCCUCAGCCUUCCAAAGUGCUGGGAUUACAGGCAUGAGCCACUGCGCCUGGCCAAGACCAUCCUUGAAGGGUGAUCUGGGUGGCAUGUUAUGAGCCCGCCACACUCCAGCCCAGGCACCUAUCUCUGUUCAGGGAACACUUCUCUUAAGGAUUCCAGCAGGCUUCUCCUUCUAGGGGAAAACUAAGCACAGAAAGGUUAAGAGAAAAAACUGAAGCCCCAGUGUAACAUCUCAUUUCAGGAUCACAUCUCAGAGACAUACCUCUCCUGUCUCCUCUCAAAACCCUUCUAGAACCCAUACCUUUGGCUACCAUUUCUGCUGGUCGUGACUGGGAGUAACACAAUUCCUACCUCCUGGGGGUCACUGAGCCCAGUCACUAUGUUCUUUGAAAUCCAGGGAUGUUGUCUCUGUUCACUUUGGUCACAGUAAAUCCUGAGGUGACACCCUUCUUUCUCCCUGCUCCAUUGUGUAACAGCAUCACAAUCUCUUCUAAUAAUGAAGGUCAAGAUGCUACCACCUUCUCUACUUGUAUAUUAGAAACCAUGAGCCUGAAGUGCCCAAGCAGCCUCUGUAGCUUAUAAAAUUAACAGGGUUCUUUCCUAUCCCCUGGCAUAUAUAUGCUGCCUUUGGGGAACUAGGAGUACCUCCAAUCCUGCAGAUCCAAGAGUUGCAAGAAUAGGAAGCACAAAGUCUCCCAGUGGGCCACUGGUAACAAUGGUGAGUGGGGACCUUUCCACUUUCAUCUGUUCAUUUCAGGACCCAUGUAAUGUUCUCACUGGAGACAUGGUACCAUAUUCAAUCUUUGACUGUGUAGACCACAUAUUGAAGGAGAGCAUCCUACCUUCACAGGCAGCCUGACAACUUUCUAGUCAAUCAUUCAUUUACCUUGUCCUUUCACACUUGUGUAUUGUCCAGUCUGUAUCUGAUAUGUAUCCAAUGUUUAGCUUCUUAUUCCUGAGCUCACCUGCUCUCAGAUUCCUGCCACGAUAUUGUUUUCCAUUUUUGCUCACAGAGUCAGGGUCACUGUGUGAAGUUUUGCAAUUGUGCACUGCUCAAUACCAGGGGCGCACUUUGUGUAGUAUUGCUCUGUAUGAACAGUUCCUCUAAGAGUGGUACCAUUCUUACUGGUUGCGGUAUGAUGAUGCCAUCCCUACUGAACAGUAAGAAUAUCUGUAAGUCCACAGCAGUGGCUCAGAGAUGCCUUUUCAUAUCGAGAGGCUGGUGUUUGCAGAGAGACAAAUGAAUCUUAUUAGUGAUUUUUAUCAGGACAAAUCAUUAUCUAAUAUUUGGCUACUGGAAAUGCAACACAACUUAUAUAGAAUAUUUUCAUGUAACUAAAGAAAUUCUAUCUAGUUUCAUUAUCCAAACCCCUAUUACCAUCAAUAAAGAAAUCAAUAAGCCACUAGUGUAAAAAACAGAGUUUUUCUGAGGGUACACUCUGUGAAAAUGAUAAGCAUGUAUUCUAACAGAAAAGACUGAAAGCUGCCUGUUUUAAGUUUUAUAGUUUUCAUUUCCUAUGCUUUUUAUCUCUGGUGGUCUGUAAAGGUCAUAAAACCUUUUAAGAAAUUUGAAAUAUCAAGGUGCAUUCCCUGAGAAAAAGGUAAUUAUGGAUGUGCACAUAUAGUUUCUGGGUGUUUAUAGCCUCCCUAAUGUCUAUCCAUAGGUUCUGGGAGAUUAAAUGGGUCCUGGAAUUUUGUAGCCAGGGUGACAAACACUGAAUCUGGAGUCAGAAGGCUUGGUGAUAAUCUUGUUCUGCCAUUAAGUAACUGCAUGACUUUCUGCAAGGGAAUUCUGUGUACCAUUGCCAGCUGUACUGUGAAUAUAAUUAUUUUUAUAAUUACAUCAUUCAUAGUGUUUAUGAGCAUCAGAUGGGAAGACAAACUGGAAGACCUCUAGCCAAAGCUGAAGACAUGCUUUGUUUUUUAUAAGUGGGAUUAAUAAACAUGUUGUUCACCUGGUACAUAUCAGUAUGAGUUUCUAUAAAUGGUUGCCUUUCUCUAAUCCAUUCAUGCUUAUUGACCAGCCCAAUCAAUCGUCA